GGCCCAGACAGCCAGGAUGUUGGCUUAGAAGCAGCCAUCAUUUAAAGAAAGCGUAAUAGCUCACUGGUCGAGUCGGCCUGCGCGGAAGAUGUAACGGGGCUAAACCAUGCACCGAAGCUGCGGCAGCGAACGUAUCACUUAAAGCGAUUCAGCGGGUUACGAUUGACGGAGCGAAGCGACGUCAAAGCGUAUACAAAGUCGAGUCGGUUUAAGGAUACGUUCGUUGGGUAGGGGAGCGUUCUGUAAGCCUGUGAAGGUGGCCUGUGAGGGUUGCUGGAGGUAUCAGAAGUGCGAAUGCUGACAUAAGUAACGAUAAAGCGGGUGAAAAGCCCGCUCGCCGGAAGACCAAGGGUUCCUGUCCAACGUUAAUCGGGGCAGGGUGAGUCGACCCCUAAGGCGAGGCCGAAAGGCGUAGUCGAUGGGAAACGGGUUAAUAUUCCCGUACUUGGUGUUACUGCGAAGGGGGGACGGAGAAGGCUAUGUUGGCCGGGCGACGGUUGUCCCGGUUUAAGCGUGUAGGUGUGUGUUCCAGGUAAAUCCGGUUCACUUUAACACUGAGGCGUGACGACGAGGCACUACGGUGCUGAAGCAACAAAUGCCCUGCUUCCAGGAAAAGCCUCUAAGCAUCAGGUAACAUCAAAUCGUACCCCAAACCGACACAGGUGGUCAGGUAGAGAAUACCAAGGCGCUUGA
rnacentral:rRNA from 1 species